CAGUAGCCACGGUAAAACGAAGGGGGCUAGCGUUGUUCGGAAUUACUGGGCGUAAAGCGCACGUAGGCGGAUAUUUAAGUCAGGGGUGAAAUCCCGCAGCUCAACUGCGGAACUGCCUUUGAUACUGGGUAUCUUGAGUAUGGAAGAGGUUAGUGGAAUUGCGAGUGUAGAGGUGAAAUUCGUAGAUAUUCGCAGGAACACCAGUGGCGAAGGCGGCUAACUGGUCCAUAACUGACGCUGAGGUGCGAAAGCGUGGGGAGCAAACAGGAUUAGAUACCCCCGUAGUCCCUGUCUCUUAUAC
rnacentral:rRNA from 1 species